CUACGGGGCGCUGCAGGCGCGAAACCUUUACAAUGCACGCAAGUGUGAUAAGGGGAUCCUCCGUGCUCAUGCAUAGCAUGGGCUUUUGCCAAGUGUAAAUAGCUUGGCGAAUAAGUGGUGGGUAAGACUGGUGCCAGCCGCCGCGGUAACACCAGCGCCACGAGUGGGUGACCACGUUUAUUGGGCCUAAAGCGUCCGUAGCCGGCUUAGUAAGUCUUUUGUGAAAUUGUUGGGCUUAACCCAACAGCGUGCAAGAGAUACUGCUAGGCUUGAGACCGGGAGGAGUCAGAAGUAUUCCAGGGGGAGCGGUAAAAUGUUAUAAUCCCUGGAGGACUACCUGUGGCGAAGGCGUCUGACCAGAACGGAUCUGACGGUGAGGGACGAAAGCCAGGGGAGCGAACCGGAUUAGAUACCCUAGUAGUC
rnacentral:rRNA from 1 species